rnacentral:rRNA from 1 species
GACGAACGCUGGCGGCGUGCUUAACACAUGCAAGUCGAACGGAAAGGCCCUGCUUUUGUGGGGUGCUCGAGUGGCGAACGGGUGAGUAACACGUGAGUAACCUGCCCUUGACUUUGGGAUAACUUCAGGAAACUGGGGCUAAUACCGGAUAGGAGCUCCUGCUGCAUGGUGGGGGUUGGAAAGUUUCGGCGGUUGGGGAUGGACUCGCGGCUUAUCAGCUUGUUGGUGGGGUAGUGGCUUACCAAGGCUUUGACGGGUAGCCGGCCUGAGAGGGUGACCGGCCACAUUGGGACUGAGAUACGGCCCAGACUCCUACGGGAGGCAGCAGUGGGGAAUAUUGCACAAUGGGCGGAAGCCUGAUGCAGCAACGCCGCGUGCGGGAUGACAGCCUGCGGGUUGUAAACCGCUUUCGCCUGUGACGAAGCGUGAGUGACGGUAAUGGGUAAAGAAGCACCGGCUAACUACGUG